UGGCGGCUUUUUAAGUCGGAUGUGAAAUCCCUGAGCUUAACUUAGGAAUUGCAUUCGAUACUGGGAAGCUAGAGUAUGGGAGAGGAUGGUAGAAUUCCAGGUGUAGCGGUGAAAUGCGUAGAGAUCUGGAGGAAUACCGAUGGCGAAGGCAGCCAUCUGGCCUAAUACUGACGCUGAGGUACGAAAGCAUGGGGAGCAAACA
rnacentral:rRNA from 1 species